rnacentral:rRNA from 1 species
AGCAGUAGCCGCGGGAAUACGUAGGGUGCAAGCGUUAAUCGGAAUUACUGGGUGUAAAGCGUGCGCAGGCGGUUUUGUAGGUUUGUCGUGAAAGCCCCGGGCUCAACCUGGGAAUUGCGAUGAAGACUGCAAGGCUUGAAUCUGGCAGAGGGGGGUAGAAUUCCACGUGUAGCAGUGGAAUGCGUAGAGAUGUGGAGGAACACCGAUGGCGAAGGCAGCCCCCUGGGUCAAGAUUGACGCUCAUGCACGAAAGCGUGGGGAGCAAACAGGAUUAGAUACCCCUGUAGUCCCUGUCUCUUAUAC